rnacentral:rRNA from 1 species
CCUACGGUGAGCAGCAGUGGGGGAUAUUGCACAAUGGGGGGAACCCUGAUGCAGCGACGCCGCGUGGGUGAAGGAGCGUUUCGGCGCGUAAAGCCCUAUCGGCAGGGAAGAAGGAGGACGGUACCUGACUAAGAAGCCCCGGCUAACUACGUGCCAGCAGCCGCGGUAAUACGGAGGGGGCAAGCGUUAUCCGGAUUUACUGGGUGGAAAGGGGGCGCAGACGGCAGCGCAAGCCAGGAGUGAAAGCCCGGGGCCAAACGCCGGGACUGCUUGUGGAACUGCGCGGAUGGAGGGAAGGAGGGGAAGGCGGAAUUACGGGUGUAGCGGUGAAAUGCGUAGAUAUCAGGAGGAACACCGGUGGCGAAGGCGGCCUGCUGGCCUGCGACUGACGUGGAGGCCCGAAAGCGUGGGGAGCAAACAGGAUUAGAUACCCGAGUAGUC